rnacentral:rRNA from 1 species
UUGAGGGCAAGUCUGGUGCCAGCAGCCGCGGUAAUUCCAGCUCCAAUAGCGUAUAUUAAAGUUGUUGCAGUUAAAAAGCUCGUAGUUGAAUUUCGGGGUUAGUAGGCUGGUCGUGCCACCGGUACGUACUGGUCUUACUGAUUCCUCCUUCCUGAUGAACUGUAAUGCCAUUAAUUUGGUGUUGCAGGGAAUCUGGACUGUUACUUUGAAAAAAUUAGAGUGUUUAAGGCAGGCUAACGCUUGAAUACAUUAGCAUGGAAUAAUGAAAUAGGACGUUCGAUCCUAUUUUGUUGGUUUCUAGGAUUGACGUAAUGAUUAAUAGGGAUAGUUGGGGGCAUUAGUAUUCAAUUGUCAGAGGUGAAAUUCUUGGAUUUAUUGAAGACUAACUACUGCGAAAGCAUUUGCCAAGGAUGUUUUCAUUAAUCAAGAACGAAAGUUAGGGGAUCGAAGACGAUCAGAUACCGUCGUAGUCUUAACCAUAAACUAUGCCGACUAGGGAUCGGAUGAUGUUAAUUUUUUAAUGACUCAUUCGGCACCUUACGGGAAAC